GAUGCGAGCGUUAUCCGGAUUUACUGGGUGUAAAGGGAGCGCAGGCGGUGCGGCAAGUCUGAUGUGAAAGCCCGGGGCUCAACCCCGGGACUGCAUUGGAAACUACCGAACUAGAGUGUCGGAGAGGUAAGUGGAAUUCCUAGUGUAGCGGUGAAAUGCGUAGAUAUUAGGAGGAACACCAGUGGCGAAGGCGGCUUACUGGGCUUUUACUGACGCUGAGGCUCGAAAGCGUGGGGAGCAAAC
rnacentral:rRNA from 1 species